UACGUAGGGGGCAAGCGUUAUCCGGAAUCAUUGGGCGUAAAGCGCGUGUAGGCGGUUCCGUAAGUCCGCUCUGAAAGCCCAGGGCUCAACCCUGGGAGGCGGGUGGAUACUACGGAACUGGAGUACGGAAGAGGAGAUUGGAAUUCCUGGUGUAGCGGUGAAAUGCGCAGAUAUCAGGAGGAACACCAACGGCGAAGGCAGCUCUCUGGGACGUUACUGACGCUGAGACGCGAAAGCGUGGGGAGCAAACAGG
rnacentral:rRNA from 1 species